rnacentral:rRNA from 1 species
UACGGAGGGGGCUAGCGUUGUUCGGAAUUACUGGGCGUAAAGCGCACGUAGGCGGCUUUGUAAGUUAGAGGUGAAAGCCCAGGGCUUAACCCUGGAAUUGCCUUUAAGACUGCAUCGCUAGAAUCGUGGAGAGGUGAGUGGAAUUCCGAGUGUAGAGGUGAAAUUCGUAGAUAUUCGGAAGAACACCAGUGGCGAAGGCGACUCACUGGACACGUAUUGACGCUGAGGUGCGAAAGCGUGGGGGAGCAAACAGG